rnacentral:rRNA from 1 species
UACAGAGGUCCCAAGCGUUGUUCGGAUUCAUUGGGCGUAAAGGGUGCGUAGGCGGCGCGGUAAGUCGGGUGUGAAAUCUCGGAGCUUAACUCCGAAACUGCAUUCGAUACUGCCGUGCUUGAGGACUGGAGAGGAGACUGGAAUUUACGGUGUAGCGGUGAAAUGCGUAGAUAUCGUAAGGAAGACCAGUGGCGAAGGCGGGGUCUCUGGACAGUUCCUGACGCUGAGGCACGAAGGCCAGGGGAGCGAACAGG